GGAUCAUUGUCGAAAUCGAACGGAAGAACGACCCGCGAAUCGUCAUUGCGUAGUAGACAGAGCCCGCGAGCACCUAACGCUCACGGGUCUCGCGUCGCGUCGGCGCGGGUGUACUCGAGACCCGCGUCGUACCGGCGGACAAACAACGUCAGCACGGAUCGUGCCAAGGACCUGCAUGGAGAGAAUCGUCGUCCCACGCCUUUGAUAGUCCUCGACGCGGGACGGGGGACGUACGCAAUCUCUACUCAAGUCUAAACGACUCUCGGCAACGGAUAUCUCGGCUCUUGCAUCGAUGAAGAACGUAGCGAAAUGCGAUACUUGGUGUGAAUUGCAGAAUCCCGUGAACCAUCAAUUCUUUGAACGCAAGUUGCGCCCGAAGCCAUUCGGCCGAGGGCACGCCUGCCUGGGCGUCGUGAAUCCCCUUGCCCCUAGGCACCCGCAUGAGCAUUGGCGGGGAUAUAUGCUCGGGCGCAGAGUAUGGUCUCCCGUGGGAUCGGGCAUGCACGGCAUGUCGAGGUGCGGUUGGCCGAAAAUCGAGCAUGGCGGUGACGGGCACCACGGCGUUCGGUGGAUCGAAUGAGAUUGGCUGCGUCGUGGGCUCGGCAUGCGGCGGGCUCCGGACUUUGAAUAUCCCCGAGUGCGAUCCCAGGUCAGGCGGGGCUACCCGCUGAGUUUAAGCAUAUCAAUAAGCGGAGGAAAAGAAACUAACGAGGAUUCCCUUAGUAGCGGC
rnacentral:rRNA from 1 species